AUGUAAAGCAUGUAGCUUUUAAACCAGUCCCUUGUCCCUAAUCCCCAGCCAUGACCACCUCUUUCAGGUACCUAUUCAAACAAUGUAAAGACUAAAACCCUGCCACCUUCCUGGUUACUCCCCCUUUCUCAUGAUUAAAUGAACCCAUAAAGUCCAUUCUAGGACUAGUACCGUAUAUAUUUAAUUAAGGGGCCAUCAUCAAAUUUGGUGUUAAGUAGGAAAAGAAGAGAAGAAGAAGGUAGAUAUCCAUCAAGGCCUACGAUUGCAUUGGAAGGUGACAAACUACAGUUGAUCAAGACUAAGCAAAAUCAAUGAGGAGAUCAGCAUCAAGGAAAAUGUUGUGGUGGGUACUGGUGCCUGGUACAAGAAAGAAGAGUUUGAAGGCUGAAUCGAGGAUGGACAUUGAGGAAAUACUCAAGAUGAAGCUUGCGACCAUCAUAGAAGAAGAGCCAGAAACUAUUGAUCAGGAAAAUGGUGGAAUACUCACAACCAAGCAUAAUUCAUCAUGCUUGAGCAAAAAGGGCAAAAAGGUUCAUCUCAAGGUGAAAAUGGGACGACUUUUCCAGCCACAUUUUAGCCUUAAAGAAUCUUAUGUGAUAUUUAUGACUGGAUUGGCCUGCAGAGGAGGAUUGCAUGGACUCCCUCGAUGCUAAUAAGACCAUGUUAAUUAGAUUUCAGCAGCAUCAUCAAGACCUGAAGCAGAGUCGUUUUCCUAAUUGUUGACAAGUUGCAAGAAGCAGCAUCUCAAAUUUAGAGAUAUGAUCAUGUCCUUGUUCACAUUCAAAUUGUUUAUUUAGCUUUAUUGUACAACACUGAUUCCUCUGGUUGUAUUACUGAAUGGGACCUCAGUUAGGAUUUUUGUGUUUCUUGUUCAGCUGGACAUGUCUUAUUGAUAUGUGUGUAAAAGAAUCCAGAAGCUGAUUAAAUUCA